AUACAGACACUAAUGAAUGCACUGAAGAUCCAGAUCUGUGCAAAGAAAACCAAUACUGCCUAAAUACAGAUGGUUCUUUCAUAUGUAAAGAAUGCAAUACCGGAUGCUUUGGUUGCAAAGGACCUGGUGCCAACAACUGCUUGAACUGUGCUGAUGGUUAUAAGGAUGAAGAAGGCACUUGCACAGAAGAGAAUAAGGAAGUGCCUGACUUUGAUUCUGAAGGUUCGCAAACUGGUGACUCACCCAAAAAACAUGAGGACCUCUGAAGUCAUAAUGCUUGAAUGCAGAAAACACCCUCCAGGACACAAUAUUUGCCUAUGGACCACUAGUGUCUGCAGUGUUUAAAUACGGGUUGUUCUUCUGGAAUAAUCAAGAGUUAAAGGCACUUGCAGCAAAUACUUAAACAGCACUAUUUAAUUUGUGGAACAUGUUUUUGCAGUAGACGUGGUCAGCA